rnacentral:rRNA from 1 species
CAGCACCUCAAGUGGUCAGGAUGAUUAUUGGGCCUAAAGCAUCCGUAGCCGGCGCUGUAAGUUUUCGGUUAAAUCUGUACGCUCAACGUACAGGCUGCCGGGAAUACUGCAGCGCUAGGGAGUGGGAGAGGUAGACGGUACUCGGUAGGAAGGGGUAAAAUCCUUUGAUCUAUUGAUGACCACCUGUGGCGAAGGCGGUCUACCAGAACGCGUCCGACGGUGAGGGAUGAAAGCUGGGGGAGCAAAACGGAUUAGAUACCCGAGUAGUCC